rnacentral:rRNA from 1 species
GUGCCAGCCGCCGCGGUAAUACGAACCGUCCAAACGUUAUUCGGAAUCACUGGGCUUAAAGGGUGCGUAGGCUGCGCUGUAAGUUGGGUGUGAAAGCCCUCGGCUUAACCGAGGAAUUGCGCUCAAUACUGCUGUGCUUGAGGGAGAUAGAGGUGAGCGGAACUUAGGGUGGAGCGGUGAAAUGCGUUGAUAUCCUAAGGAACACCUGGGGCGAAAGCGGCUCACUGGAUCUUUUCUGACGCUGAUGCACGAAAGCUAGGGUAGCGAACGGGAUUAGAUACCCUGGUAGUCC